rnacentral:rRNA from 1 species
CACGCUGUAAACGAUGAGUACUAGGUGUUGGGGGUAUCGACCCCCUCAGUGCCGAAGCAAACGCGAUAAGUACUCCGCCUGGGGACUACGGCCGCAAGGCUAAAACUCAAAGGAAUUGACGGGGGCCCGCACAAGCAGCGGAGCGUGUGGUUUAAUUCGACGCAACGCGAAGAACCUUACCUGGGCUUGACAUGCACGUGGUACGACCGGGAAACCGGGAGGACCCGCAAGGGAGCGUGCACAGAUGC